GAUGAACGCUGGCGGCGUGCCUAACACAUGCAAGUCGAGCGGAACGGCGGACGGGUGAGUAACGCGUAGGUAACCUGCCUGUACAGAGGGAUAGCCACUGGAAACGGUGAUUAAUACCUCAUAGUACAGGAUGGACCUGCGUCUGAUUAGCUUGUUGGUGGGGUAACGGCUCACCAAGGCGACGAUCAGUAGCCGACCUGAGAGGGUGAUCGGCCACAUUGGAACUGAGACACGGUCCAAACUCCUACGGGAGGCAGCAGUGGGGAAUAUUGCACAAUGGGGGAAACCCUGAUGCAGCAACGCCGCGUGAACGAAGAAGGCCUUGGGUCGUAAAGUUCUGUUCUGAGGGAAGCGGUACCUCAGGAGAAAGCCCCGGCUAACUACGUGCCAGCAGCCGCGGUAAUACGUAGGGGGCAAGCGUUGUCCGGAAUUAUUGGGCGUAAAGAGUACGUAGGCGGUCUGGUAAGCGCAAGGUGAAAGGCAUAGGCUCAACCAAUGUCAGCCUUGCGAACUGUCAGACUUGAGUGCAGGAGGGGAAAGUGGAAUUCCUAGUGUAGCGGUGAAAUGCGUAGAUAUUAGGAGGAACACCAGUGGCGAAGGCGACUUUCUGGACUGUAACUGACGCUGAGGUACGAAAGCGUGGGGAGCAAACAGGAUUAGAUACCCUGGUAGUCCACGCCGUAAACGACGAGCACUAGGUGUCGGGUGGUGCCGCAGUUAACGCAUUAAGUGUCCGCCUGGGAGUA
rnacentral:rRNA from 1 species